UGACUUACCUGAUUUGCGUGGCUUUUCCGGAAAUUGUGGCCAGUGUAGACGUAGCCUGUGUGUUUAAAUGGAAGGUGAAGAUAGACCAGUGGCCCAGUUUUCUGGUACAAUGAAUAGAUAAAUAGCCUUUCCACUGAAAUUAAUAGACUACUAGGGCUAUCGGGUAAAUAUAAUUUUAAUCUUAAAAGCAACCUAUAUUUGUAUGAUCCAAGAAAUUGAAAGCCUGUAGCUCACAAUAAAGAGAAUUAAAUGUGUUAACUCUUUUACUGAAUUGUAUGAUAAUUGUCUUAUCCUGUAGACUGUAAAUUGUAGUUUAUUUUAUUUACUUGUCUGGUAGAGUACAUUCCAGAAUAUGUAGUAAUUGUUAGAAGGAAUAAGAUACAGAACUUAUUUUUGUGCUUCUCAAAUUUGAUAUCUUAAAGGAAAUACUGUAGUUUGAAAAUGCACACUGAGGCAGCAGUAAAGUGUUGAUAGUUGACUGUUUAAAACUAGUCUUUGGAACUACUCUUUAAAAUGGAUUAUUGAGAUGGAGCAUUUGUCAGAUAGUAUUGAAUUAACAGUGAAACCUGAAUAUUCAUUUAGUCAAAAUGAUAGUAAAUCUGACUUUAUGUACAACUUUUGGAGCAAUUUAACCUACAGUUUGUUGGACAGAACUAAACUGCUAACAAUCAGAGUAGUUGUAAGAAAUAAAAAAUGCUACUUUGACUCAGUUGAUAUGGUGCAGAAUCUGUGCUGAGUAAAGGAAACUGCUUUUUUUACUUAAUGUGUCAAUUGAUGAAAUAUGGUUUAACUUGCAUCUUCAAAUUAUGCAGCAUCAAUUUAGCUGUAAUUGAAAUGUCAGUUGCCAAGAUGGAACUGCAGAAUUUUCAAAGCAUACAGAAACAAUUGACUUCUAGAAUUGGAGGUAGAGUAGGAUUCAGUUAAGCUGGCUUUCUUUCUCUGCUAUGCAUUUUAGUCAGUGGUAUUGCUGUAUCUAGCACCUGUCUCUACACAGUAAUAGGGUAAUUUGGAACCCAAACGUGCUUCCACAGACAUCAAUGGUUUAGUUCCUCUGUUGCUGUUCAGAUCUCCAAAGCAUCAUCCAAGCAAAAACUGACCAGAGACUUCCCAGUCUUCACUGCUGAUAUAGAGAAUUUUGUGGAUAGCAAUUCAGCUGACAAGGACAGUCAAUUUCCUUCUGUUUCAAUUUGGGAAAAGCUCUGAGCAGUAGAGGAAGGUGCAAAAAAAUCAGAUUCAGAAGUAUAGUGGGUUUGUUGGGAAAACACCACUAUCAUUCUUGCAACAGCCAGAGGGUCUUUGAAGGGUGCAGGAGACACCUACUAGCAAGACACUUCAAAAGAUGGAACCCCAGACGAGUGCAUGGACAUCACCUUGAGAAGUUGAAAAACUAGCAGUGUUCCCUUGUGCAGCACAGAAGAAUGAGCCAUCAGUGGGAAAGAGAACAUUAUAUCUUGAUUGGAUAUAUUUGAAGAGGACAUUUUAGUUUUGUGACAUGCUGCAGCAG